AUGAUGUGGAAGGAAGUUCUUGAACCAGAUUUUUCGAUGCACGCUCUUGCUGGGGAGAAAGUAUUGCACGUGAAAGCUGUCCAGGGUGUACUUGCGCAAGCGAUUCAUGAUAUAACAACAUGUAGGAUGUUUUUUGUCCCUACCGUGCUCGAUCAAGGGUGGGCGGCGUAUAUGUGGGACAUGAUGAGGAAGGAGAUUCAUGUCCUCGACCCUUUGUGUCGCAAACAACGUAAGCUCAUGCAUGAGGAGGCAGUUUCACAGAUACAUGCUGCAUUAUUCAGCUGCUUGAAUGAAUACUUUGCAAAGUGGCAUUGCACAUCUGAAAGUUGGAAGCGCAAGUUCCCAAAGAUUACAAAUGACAUUUUCACAAGGGAUGAGUCUGGAAUAUGCAUGAUGCAUGCAAUUAGGAAUUACAGUGGGGAGAAGAUGAUGUGUCCACUGACGAAGAAUAAUAUUGCAAGUUUUAGGAAAGUGGUUGCAUAUGAGGUUUUCCGGUUACGGGAUGAUCAAGGUGAAUUCAUGGCUGACGAUGUUCUGCGUGCUACAUUUGGUGAACCCGAGGAAUGA
rnacentral:rRNA from 1 species